AUUUAAUUUGAGUUCCUGAUCCGUACUGAUUACAGAAGUCGGAACGCCCUAUACCUGAGCGCAUUAUCUUAAAGAGAGGUUAUGAGAAACCUGUUGAGCCGCAUUAUCGGAUAGAGAGGCAGAGACAGAAACGGAAGCAGCCUUGUCCGGGCUCGGGCCCGGUCCAUUGCGAUGUUUGGCGUGUUCAUGCCGAGUUUUCAUUGGCUCUUUUGGCCGCGCGAUCUAUUGUAAUGUCCAUCUGCUCGCGUGUGUCAUUCAUUGCCCUGUAUUUCCAAGUAUUUCCUUGGUGAAAGCAUCAAAGUGUUGUUCAACCGAAACGCUAAUGAGGGUGACACCGUUCGCAGAAACCAGAAGAGGGGGAGGAGAGGACCCCCCUGCCCGCCUCCCAUGGGAGACACUUAUACUUUUUCAAAAUACCGCUAGUAAUAUAAGCAAAGAGAAUUAGGCGCAAAUAGAAGGAAAUUAAAAUAGGAAUGCGAGUCAAAUAAUGACUUAAAAGGAUGGUCUGAAAAGAGUGGAUGAUGCAACACACGAUGCGACACUAGACGCAGACACGUCCGCACCGGUCAAAGACACGCGCCAAAAAUCGUCGUAAGAUCAAGAAGGUGGAUCACUUUUAGAGGUCAUUGAUUGUUAUUAUAUAGAACGGUUGUAUCAUUGGGUAAAUUUAACAGAGUAUGUUCGUUCAUAGCACUAAUUGUAAGCAUCAUUUAUCCUUAUUUAAUAUUUGAUAGAUAACAAGGAAAAUAUGAUAGCUGUGUUCCAUUUAUUGCUCACAGCAUUUUGAAAUUAUUUUAUUUUUGUUGUUUAUCACAUGUUAAACAAGGACAGAUGAUACUUAUAAACGUUGAAUAGAAUGCACUUGAUGCUUAUUACAAUAUGUGAAUAUGAAAAAAUAAACGCACUCAAAAAACAG